CCUACGGGAGGCAGCAGUGAGGAAUAUUGGUCAAUGGACGAGAGUCUGAACCAGCCAAGUAGCGUGAAGGAUGACUGCCCUAUGGGUUGUAAACUUCUUUUAUAAAGGAAUAAAACGAGGCACGUGUGCCUUUUUGCAUGUACUUUAUGAAUAAGGAUCGGCUAACGCCGUGCCAGCAGCCGCGGUAAUACGGAGGAUCCGAGCGUUAUCCGGAUUUAUUGGGUUUAAAGGGAGCGUAGAUGGGUUGUUAAGUCAGUAGUGAAAGUUUGCGGCUCAACCGUAAAAUUGCAAUUGAUACUGGCAGCCUUGAGUACAGUUGAGGUAGGCGGAAUUCGUGGUGUAGCGGUGGAAUGCUUAGAUAUCACGAAGAACUCCGAUUGCGAAGGCAGCUUACUAAACUGCCACUGACAUUGAUGCUCGAAAGUGUGGGUAUCAAACAGGAUUAGAUACCCCUGUAGUC
rnacentral:rRNA from 1 species